UUCCGUAGGUGAACCUGCGGAAGGAUCAUUACCUAGAGUUUGUGGGCUUUGCCUGCUAUCUCUUACCCAUGUCUUUUGAGUACUUACGUUUCCUCGGUGGGUUCGCCCGCCGAUUGGACAAUUUAAACCCUUUGCAGUUGCAAUCAGCGUCUGAAAAACAUAAUAGUUACAACUUUCAACAACGGAUCUCUUGGUUCUGGCAUCGAUGAAGAACGCAGCGAAAUGCGAUAAGUAGUGUGAAUUGCAGAAUUCAGUGAAUCAUCGAAUCUUUGAACGCACAUUGCGCCCCUUGGUAUUCCAUGGGGCAUGCCUGUUCGAGCGUCAUUUGUACCUUCAAGCAUUGCUUGGUGUUGGGUGUUUGUCUCGCCUUUGCGUGUAGACUCGCCUUAAAACAAUUGGCAGCCGGCGUAUUGAUUUCGGAGCGCAGUACAUCUCGCGCUUUGCACUCAUAACGACGACGUCCAAAAGUACAUUUUAACACUCUUGACCUCGGAUCAGGUAGGGAUACCCGCUGAACUUAAGCAUAUCAAUAAGCGGAGGAA
rnacentral:misc_RNA from 1 species